rnacentral:rRNA from 1 species
UGAAGAGUUUGAUCCUGGCUCAGAACGAACGCUGGCGGCGUGGCUAAGACAUGCAAGUCGUACGCACUAUGCUUAACCGUAUGGUGAGUGGCGAAAGGGUGAGGAAUAGAUAGGUAACGUACCUUAUGCACCGGAAUAGCGUCGUUAGUAGCAAUACUAACUACCGAAAGGGGCGGUAAUACCGGAUAACGUUGUCGGUCGCAUGAUCGACAUCCAAUGGAUUUAUCGGCAUAAGAGCGGCCUUUCUCCUAUCAGCUAGUUGGCGAGGUAAUGGCUCACCAAGGCUAUGACGGGUACCGGGAUUGAGAGAUCGACCCGGCACAUCGGAACUGAGACACUGUCCGGACCUCCACGGAGGGCUGCAGUAACGAAUAUUGGGCA